GAAGCUGGACCUGCAUUUGAAGUCUUAAGUGAUAUUUUGAUGCCAUUGAUUCCAGAUUUCAAGAGAGCGGAGGACGAAUUCACCUUUGAUCUUGUUGAGCAGUGUUUCUGAAAUUUCAUAAAUGAGUACUGCAUGUUGGAGUUACAUCUUGGUAAAUCCUCUUUUAUGUGGAUAUACCGGAUGAGAAAAUGAUAUAUCAAGCAAUCCAGUGAAAUACUCAGCUCCAGAAGACACUAACAAGACAUGAUGGCCUUGUUUCUGGUAGAUAUUGCCUAUAUUAGCCCACAUUGAUCAAGGUGGAAGAAAAAGAUCCACUUUCCUGAACGACUCUUCAAAUUGUAUGGCAACUCCAUUGAUUCUCUGUAGAUGUUGUCAAACAGGCUCAGGCUGGUUCUCAAAAUUGGUUGGUUGGGUUUUUUUGCCCAUUUCUAUUUUACAACUGUGAGGUUGGGGAACAUUUGAAUAAACUUUGGGUGACCGUAACAUCAUCCACAUGGAGAAUGUUGCAUAUCUUCACUUAACUUUUUUGGUUUUGGUAGAAAAGCUACAAUAGAGUCGAGAACAAUUGUUAUCCAACUAACCCGUGACCCGAGUUGUAUUGGUUUAGGCAAUUUCCUACAUAAUCUAUUGAUUUUACAUAUUUUCU
rnacentral:lncRNA from 1 species